GAUGAACGCUGGCGGCGUGCCUAAUACAUGCAAGUCGAGCGAACGGACGAGAAGCUUGCUUCUCUGAUGUUAGCGGCGGACGGGUGAGUAACACGUGGAUAACCUACCUAUAAGACUGGGAUAACUUCGGGAAACCGGAGCUAAUACCGGAUAAUAUUUUGAACCGCAUGGUACAAAAGUGAAAGACGGUCUUGCUGUCACUUAUAGAUGGAUCCGCGCUGCAUUAGCUAGUUGGUAAGGUAACGGCUUACCAAGGCAACGAUGCAUAGCCGACCUGAGAGGGUGAUCGGCCACACUGGAACUGAGACACGGUCCAGACUCCUACGGGAGGCAGCAGUAGGGAAUCUUCCGCAAAGGGCGAAAGCCUGACGGAGCAACGCCGCGUGAGUGAUGAAGGUCUUCGGAUCGUAAAACUCUGUUAUUAGGGAAGAACAUAUGUGUAAGUAACUGUGCACAUCUUGACGGUACCUAAUCAGAAAGCCACGGCUAACUACGUG
rnacentral:rRNA from 1 species